rnacentral:rRNA from 1 species
UAGCAAUCUAUACGGUGAAACUGCGAAUGGCUCAUUAAAUCAGUUAUCGUUUAUUUGAUAGUACCUUACUACUUGGAUACCUGUGGUAAUUCUAGAGCUAAUACAUGCUAAAAACCUCGACUUCGGAAGGGGUGUAUUUAUUAGAUAAAAAACCAAUGCCCUCCGGGGCUCCUUGGUGAUUCAUAAUAACUCAACGAAUCGCAUGGCCUUGCGCCGGCGAUGGUUCAUUCAAAUUUCUGCCCUAUCAACUUUCGAUGGUAGUAUAGAGGACUACCAUGGUUUCUACGGGUAACGGGGAAUUAGGGUUCUAUUCCGGAGAGGGAGCCUGAGAAACGGCUACCACAUCCAAGGAAGGCAGCAGGCGCGCAAAUUACCCAAUCCCGACACGGGGAGGUAGUGACAAUAAAUACUGAUCCAGGGCUCUUUUGGGUCUUGGAAUUGGAAUGAGUACAAUUUAAAUCCCUUAACGAGGAACAAUUGGAGGGCAAGUCUGGUGCCAGCAGCCGCGGUAAUUCCAGCUCCAAUAGCGUAUAUUAAAGUUGUUGCAGUUAAAAAGCUCGUAGUUGAAACUUGGGUCUGGCUGACCGGUCCGCCUCACCGCGUGCACUGGCUUGGCCGGACCUUUCCUUCUGGGAAACCGCAUGGCCUUCAUUGGUCGUGUUGGGGAUCCAGGACUUUUACUUUGAAAAAAUUAGAGUGUUCAAAGCAGGCCUAUGCUCGAAUACAUUAGCAUGGAAUAAUAGAAUAGGACGUGUGGUUCUAUUUUGUUGGUUUCUAGGACCGCCGUAAUGAUUAAUAGGGACGAUGCGUACCCAAACUUAGAUCUGGUCGUAACACCGUUUACCCGAAGAAGAGAUUGAGCAACAGUGAACUCCCUAUAGAGCAGUGGCUAUCCUUAUGUGGCUCCUAGUAGUCAGCAAGGGGCAAUGCGCACCAAACAGUGGGCUAGACUGAAGUGGAGAUACUGGAAUAUACGUGCUCAGCGCAAGCGAGUGCUUAGCACUAGAGCUCCUCUGAAGCCUAAGAGGAUCUAGAGUGUCGACACACUCAAGGUUGGAACGCAGUUGGUAAGAUUUCAAGUAUAAAAAUGUUCCAGAGGAGCGAGAGCGGGGAUGCUUGGCAGGCAUUCGUCCUGUGUCCUUUGCUUCGUUCGCACCUUCGUUCGCACUAUCAACUGCUCCUUUGCACUUUGCUGUGCAACGUCUGAGCGACGUGCUCGCUCAGCGCCUUCCCCACGCGGAGCUCCGCGAUUCCCGAAGCCAACAUGUCCAACAUUGGAGGGAAUGAACAACUUGAAACCUGAUAAAAAUGCGUAGAAUAAUGCCAGACACAAUAAGGAUUGACAGAUUGAGAGCUCUUUCUUGAUUUUGUGGGUGGUGGUGCAUGGCCGUUCUUAGUUGGUGGAGUGAUUUGUCUGCUUAAUUGCGAUAACGAACGAGACCUUAACCUGCUAAAUAGCCAGGUCAGCUUUGGCUGGCCGCCGGCUUCUUAGAGGGACUAUCGGCUCAAGCCGAUGGAAGUUUGAGGCAAUAACAGGUCUGUGAUGCCCUUAGAUGCUCUGGGCCGCACGCGCGCUACACUGACAGAGACAACGAGUUCAUCACCUUGGCCGGAAGGUCUGGGUAAUCUUGUUAAACUCUGUCGUGCUGGGGAUAGAGCAUUGCAAUUAUUGCUCUUCAACGAGGAAUGCCUAGUAAGCGCAAGUCAUCAGCUUGCGUUGAUUACGUCCCUGCCCUUUGUACACACCGCCCGUCGCUACUACCGAUUGAAUGGCUCAGUGAGGCCUUCGGACUGGCCCAGAGAGGUCGGCAACGACCACUCCGGGCCGGAAAGUUCGUCAAA